rnacentral:rRNA from 1 species
GGAAUCUUGCGCAAUGGGCGAAAGCCUGACGCAGCAACGCCGCGUGCGGGAAGAAGGCUUUCGGGCUGUAAACCGCUUUCAGCAGGAACGAAAAUGACGGUACCUGCAGAAGAAGGAGCGGCCAACUAUGUGCCAGCAGCCGCGGUGAUACAUAAGCUUCAAGCGUUGUCCGGAUUUAUUGGGCGUAAAGAGUUCGUAGGCGGUCGAGUAAGUCGGGUGUGAAAAUUCUGGGCUCAACCCAGAAACGCCACCCGAUACUGCUUAACUUGAGUUCGAUAGGGGAGUGGGGAAUUCCUAGUGUAACGGUGAAAUGCGCGGAUAUUAGGAGGAACACCGGUGGCGAAGGCGCCACUCUGGAUCGAUACUGACGCUGAGGAACGAAAGCAUGGGUAGCAAACAGGAUUAGAUACCCUGGUAGUCCAUGCCGUAAACGGUGGGCACUAGGUGUGGGAUUCUAUUAACGAAUUCCGCGCCGUCGCUAACGCAUUAAGUGCCCCGCCUGGGGAGUACGGUCGCAAGACUAAAACUCAAAGGAAUUGACGG